GUCCAGCCCCCAACCGCCCCUGGCUCUGCCCGCCUCUCCCACCCUGUCCCCUUUUCCUUCCGGAAGCCUCCACAGUGAGAACUGCAUCUCACCAGACUUCGCGGGGAUGAUCUUCCACGUGAAAGUUCAUUUUCUCUGUUCGUGGCCACCUCAUGAGGUAUCUACCCGAGAGAAAGGAAAACAUAAAAAACCUCAUACGCAAAUGUUCACGACAGUUUGAUGCAUGACGGCCAAAAAGCGCGAACAACCCAGGGUCCUUCGGCGGAUGGCGGAUGAGCAAGCUGCGGAGGACGGUGCGGGGGGGGGGGGUACCACUCGGCCACGAGGAGGAGUGGGUGCCGGCCAACCACUGCUGCCCCACGGAGGAACCGUGGGAGCGGGAUGCCGAGGGAAAGGAGCCAGGCCCAGAAGCCCCGAGUUGUGUGUGAAGCAUCUGGAAAGGGCGAAUCCCCAGACGGGAGGAGGGAGCACUGGGGAGUGGCCGCCAGUGGGGACUGGACGUCCUGCCCAGGGGUGGACAGAGGCGGUGGUUGCACAGCUUGGUAGCGUACUCAGUGUUAGGACACUGCCCGCCUACAAGUGGAUGCAAAGGCAAAUUUUAUGUUACACACACACACAUUUUUUUCUUACAGCAAUAAAAUUUUUCAGGGGUUAA